CCUACGGGUGACUGCAGUGAGGAAUAUUGGUCAAUGGGCGCGAGCCUGAACCAGCCAAGUCGCGUGAAGGAUGACGGCCCUACGGGUUGUACACUUCUUUUUUACGGGAGUAAACUGAGGCACGUGGGCCUUUUUGAAUGUAUUUUAUGAAUAAGGAUCGGCUAACUCCGUCCCAGCACCCGCGUUAAUACGGAGGAUCCGAGCGUUAUCCGGAGUUAUUGGGUUUAAAGGGAGUGUAGAUGGGUGGUUAAGUCAGUUGUGAAAGUUGGCGGCUCAACGGUGGAAGUGCAAUUGAUACUGGCAGUCUGGAGUGCAGUUGAGGUAGGAGGAAUGCGUGGUGUAGCGGUGAAAUGCAUAGAUAUCACGCAGAACACCGAUUGCGAAGGCAGCUUACCAAGCUGCGACUGACGUUGAUGCGCGAAAGUGUGGGUAUCAAACAGGAUUAGAUACCCGGGUAGUC
rnacentral:rRNA from 1 species